GCAGGAAUGGCGGAAUGGCAGACGCGACAGACUCAAAAUCUGUUAUCCGUGAGGGUGUGUGGGUUCAAGUCCCAUUUCCUGCA
rnacentral:tRNA from 1 species